GAAGCCCGUGCUGAAGGCUAUGCAGAGGUCCGUACCGAAGGCCAAGCACGUGCCGCCUCCGCCCAAGGCCCCUGCAGGCAAGGAGAUGUUGAGGCCACGCGGGCCGCGGAUGCUGGUGCCUCGCGGAAAGGGCUCACAUCAAGCUGGAGGCAAGGGCAAAUUCUCAGGCAAAGAGAGCAACAGCACCAUGAACAACAGCCGCUGGCCAGGUGCCAAGGGUGGACCCGGCGCAAAGGGU
rnacentral:SRP_RNA from 1 species